rnacentral:misc_RNA from 1 species
AUGAACCGGAACUAGUGGCUGCAACUGCAAAAUCCACAAACAAUUAAUGUGAUAAAAAACUAAAGAGACCAACAUAUUCAGUAAUAAUCCAAUGCUUCACGAGCAUGGAUCUGAAAAUACAGAAUAUCACAUCAUGAAGUAAAAGUUGUAGAAUGAGAUCAUAGAGUUCAAAACAUUCAUGUUUUCUGUACCUGUGGAUUUCCAAGAUCAUAAUGGCUUAGGAUUUUAACUUUGCCUCUCAAUUCAUAGACAUGCAUUCCUGACUAUAUUUUUCUUCCAUAAACCUUGCAACUACUUGUCCCCCUCCACCAUACAUUUAAUGUAUAUUUUGUUGGCCAAAAUACAUACACCCAGUACUAUUUGAGAUUGAUCUAUUAAACACUAGAAUUAAAAUCGUAACCUAUUGAACAAUUGAAUUUAUAAAAUUCAUAAUAAUUAAACAUAAAUUAGCCAUCUCAUCGAUGACUUACCAAAAAAAGUCAGAAAUGAUCCAACUUAUUGUUAAAUAUACUCUAAAUGUUGCUGACUGUGAUUUAAA